GGGUACCUUGCUGGAGAUCCCUGCCUGCGGUUUUCCAAAGCCUUACCCUUAAAACUUCAGAGGACACAGCCAGCAUUUUAACUCGCAGCACUUCAGAUGUCCACGGCUUGGCAGGGCUGCUCAGCUCCGUGCCCUGCGGCUGCCCAGCACCCAGGAGUGCUGCAGGAGUGUGGAUCUUCAGGCCGCCCCGAGUCCAACAGCAGGGAUCCCUGGGGGCGGUGGCACAGAACUGCGUCUGUUGGACCAUGAGGUCUGGAUCACUGAAUGCCCGCAAUAUGUGACGCUGCCUCUGCCAAAGGCAGUUUGGAGUGGGCUGCGUUUGCAGUGAUUGUAAGCUGGCAGGAUUGCCAGGAAUGUGUAAACAGCGGCACAGCAGGGGAGGGGCUUCACUUCUGGGUCCUUUUGGAGCACGUAGAAAAGCCCUGGAAGGGUUUUUUUCCACCCCCAAAAAAACAAACUUAAAUAUCUGUAAUGAAUUAUGCCAUUUGUUUUGCCUUUAGAUUCUCAUUUCUUAUCUAUAAGCAUUGCAAAAUACGAGAUUCUGAAAAGAAUACCUGUGGUUGUUGCGGUGCUCUCUUGUGAAAGGAAACUGUAGCCCAGAGUGAGGCAUUUGGAGAUGUCAUUUAAGAGCUUGAAAUGCUGUUUAAUUUUUCUCUUGCUUUGGAGAAUUCUUUAAUCUCACUUCACAACUGCAGGUGUGCUACUCUUAACCUUGGAUGUGUGGAAAUAUGCUCAGGUUUAUCUGAAGUUUCAGCAGGUUUUUAAAUUAAAAUGAGUGAUGCUCCUUGGCUCUAAGAGAGGUAUUAAUAAAAUCUAAGCUAAACUGGA